rnacentral:rRNA from 1 species
CACGUAGGGGCCAAGCGUUGUCCGGAUUUAUUGGGCGUAAAGAGCUCGUAGGCGGUUCGACAAGUCGGGUGUGAAAACUCCGGGCUCAACCCGGAGACGCCACCCGAUACUGUCGUGACUGGAGUCCGGUAGGGGAGUGGGGAAUUCCUGGUGUAGCGGUGAAAUGUGCAGAUAUCAGGAGGAACACCGGUGGCGAAGGCGCCACUCUGGGCCGGUACUGACGCUGAGGAGCGAAAGCGUGGGUAGCAAACAGG